UUUAACUGAAGAGUUUGAUCAUGGCUCAGAUUGAACGCUGGCGGCAGGCUUAACACAUGCAAGUCGAGCGGGGGAAGGUAGCUUGCUACUGGACCUAGCGGCGGACGGGUGAGUAAUGCUUAGGAAUCUGCCUAUUAGUGGGGGACAACAUCUCGAAAGGGAUGCUAAUACCGCAUACGUCCUACGGGAGAAAGCAGGGGAUCUUCGGACCUUGCGCUAAUAGAUGAGCCUAAGUCGGAUUAGCUAGUUGGUGGGGUAAAGGCCUACCAAGGCGACGAUCUGUAGCGGGUCUGAGAGGAUGAUCCGCCACACUGGGACUGAGACA
rnacentral:rRNA from 1 species